CCUACGGGAGGCAGCAGUAGGGAAUCUUUCACAAUGGGCGAAAGCCUGAUGGAGCAACGCCGCGUGAAGGAUGAAGGCCUUAGGGUUGUAAACUGCUUUUAUAAGCGAGCAAUAUGAUGGUAACUUAUGAAUAAGGAUCGGAUAACUACGUGCCAGCAGACGCGGUCAUACGUAGGAUCCGAGCAUUAUCCGGAGUGACUGGGUGUAAAGAGUUGCGUAGGUGGCAUAAUAAGUAGCUAGUGAAAUCUGGUGGCUCAACCAUUCAGACUAUUCGCUAAACUGUUAAGCUCGAGACCGUUAGGGGUAACGGGAAUUUCUAGUGUAGGAGUGAAAUCCGUAGAUAUUAGAAGGAACACCAAUAGCGUAGGCAGGUUGCUGGGACGGUUCUGACACUAAGGCACGAAAGCGUAGGGAGCAAACGGGAUUAGAUACCCGGGUAGUC
rnacentral:rRNA from 1 species